AACGCACCUUGCACCUUUUGGUAUUCCGAAGGGUAUGCUCGUUUGAGUGUCAUUGUACUCUCACACUCUCUGAUUUCAAAUCGGGAGCGGUGGACUUGGAUGCUGCUGCUUUAUUGUCAGGCUCAUCCCAAAUGCCUUAGUGCAACUCUAUUUGGACAUAGUACAGCGUGAUAAGUAUCUUCGCUGGCAACUCGCAAGAGGAUGUCCAUUUCGGGGCUCUGUGCUUCAAACUGUCCUUUGGGACAAUCUCCGACAACUUGACCUCAAAUCGAGUAGGACUACCCGCUGAACUUAA
rnacentral:misc_RNA from 1 species